GACGAACGCUGGAGGCGUGCUUAACACAUGCAAGUCGAACGAUGAAAUGGAGCUUGCUCCAUGGAUUAGUGGCGAACGGGUGAGUAACACGUGAAUAACCUGCCCUUAAUUUUGGAAUAACCCGGGGAAACCUGGGCUAAUACCGGAUAAGUAAACCUGUGGCCUCCCAUGGUUUUGGAAAGUUUUUCGAUUAAGGAUGGAUUCGCGGCCUAUCAGCUAGUUGGUGAGGUAACGGCUCACCAAGGCGACGACGGGUAGCCGGCCUGAGAGGGUGACCGGCCACACUGGGACUGAGACACGGCCCAGACUCCUACGGGAGGCAGCAGUGGGGAAUAUUGCACAAUGGGCGCAAGCCUGAUGCAGCAACGCCGCGUGAGGGAUGACGGCCUUCGGGUUGUAAACCUCUUUUAGUAGGGAAGAAGCGAAAGUGACGGUACCUGCAGAAAAAGCACCGGCUAACUACGUGCCAGCAGCCGCCGUAA
rnacentral:rRNA from 1 species